UUGAUGGGGCUGCUUCACUUCAGUCUUAACUGGAACGAUACAGAGAAGAUGAGCAUGGCCCCUGUGAGAAGACGACACACAAAUCCGUGAAGCAGUCUAUAUAUAU
ensembl:snRNA U6 U6 spliceosomal RNA